CAAAUUGCGGUGAAUACGUUCCCGGGUCUUGUACACACCGCCCGUCAAACCAUGAAAGUCACCAACACCCGAAGUCCGCUUCUGCGGCCUAAGGUGGGGGGAUGAGUUGGGGUU
rnacentral:rRNA from 1 species